rnacentral:misc_RNA from 1 species
CACAUUGCGGGAGCCGGAAGAUAGUCCCCCUGUAGCGAAAAUUACGGGGGGUAGGACUCUCGCCCCGAGCAAUCGGGUCACCCUGCUUUCCUGAGCACCAUUCGUUUCCUCGGCGGGCGUGCCCGCUAGUGGGGACCCCUAAAACCCCUUGCAAUAAGCAGUAACUGUCGGCGAGAAACAAUCGUAA